GACGAACGCUGGCGGCGUGCCUAAUACAUGCAAGUAGAACGCUGAAGAGAGGAGCUUGCUCUUCUUGGAUGAGUUGCGAACGGGUGAGUAACGCGUAGGUAACCUGCCUUGUAGCGGGGGAUAACUAUUGGAAACGAUAGCUAAUACCGCAUAACAAUAGGUGACACAUGUCAUUUAUUUGAAAGGGGCAAUUGCUCCACUACAAGAUGGACCUGCGUUGUAUUAGCUAGUAGGUGAGGUAACGGCUCACCUAGGCGACGAUACAUAGCCGACCUGAGAGGGUGAUCGGCCACACUGGGACUGAGACACGGCCCAGACUCCUACGGGAGGCAGCAGUAGGGAAUCUUCGGCAAUGGGGGCAACCCUGACCGAGCAACGCCGCGUGAGUGAAGGAGGUUUUCGGAUCGUAAAGCUCUGUUGUAAGUCAAGAACGAGUGUGAGAGUGGAAAGUUCACACUGUGACGGUAGCUUACCAGAAAGGGACGGCUAACUACGUGCCAGCAGCCGCGGUAAUACGUAGGUCCCGAGCGUUGUCCGGAUUUAUUGGGCGUAAAGCGAGCGCAGGCGGUUUGAUAAGUCUGAAGUUAAAGGCUGUGGCUCAACCAUAGUUCGCUUUGGAAACUGUCAAACUUGAGUGCAGAAGGGGGGAGUGGAAUUCCAUGUGUAGCGGUGAAAUGCGUAGAUAUAUGGAGGAACACCGGUGGCGAAAGCGGCUCUCUGGUCUGUAACUGACGCUGAGGCUCGAAAGCGUGGGGAGCGAACAGGAUUAGAUACCCUGGUAGUCCACGCCGUAAACGAUGAGUGCUAGGUGUUGGAUCCUUUCCGGGAUUCAGUGCCGCAGCUAACGCAUUAAGCACUCCGCCUGGGGAGUACGACCGCAAGGUUGAAACUCAAAGGAAUUGACGGGGGCCCGCACAAGCGGUGGAGCAUGUGGUUUAAUUCGAAGCAACGCGAAGAACCUUACCAGGUCUUGACAUCCCGAUGCUAUUUCUAGAGAUAGAAAGUUACUUCGGUACAUCGGUGACAGGUGGUGCAUGGUUGUCGUCAGCUCGUGUCGUGAGAUGUUGGGUUAAGUCCCGCAACGAGCGCAACCCCUAUUGUUAGUUGCCAUCAUUCAGUUGGGCACUCUAGCGAGACUGCCGGUAAUAAACCGGAGGAAGGUGGGGAUGACGUCAAAUCAUCAUGCCCCUUAUGACCUGGGCUACACACGUGCUACAAUGGUUGGUACAACGAGUUGCGAGUCGGUGACGGCAAGCUAAUCUCUUAAAGCCAAUCUCAGUUCGGAUUGUAGGCUGCAACUCGCCUACAUGAAGUCGGAAUCGCUAGUAAUCGCGGAUCAGCACGCCGCGGUGAAUACGUUCCCGGGCCU
rnacentral:rRNA from 1 species